UAAGGUGUCAUAAUAAGCAGAUGUUGGGUC
rnacentral:piRNA from 1 species